GUUCCUGUAUAGCCAUCUUGGUGUAGAACCAGCCGUGGUUGAUCAGUACCCAAGCCGACAUACAGCCAGGUUGUAGCCGCUCUUUAGUUCUUGGUUACCAGGAAGUCCCUGUGGUGCUGCAAUAAAAAUAUGGUACUGUUGUAAACAAUAGACUUGCAAAAUG